rnacentral:rRNA from 1 species
GUUAAACGGCUGCAGUACUCUGACUGUGCAAAGGUAGCAUGAUCAAUUGUCUGGUAAUUCCAGUCUGGUAUGAAUGGUUAGACGAUAGGGGCACUGUCUCUUCUUUCUUUUGUUGAAAUUGACUUUUGGGGGGCGGAGGCCCAAAUUAUGGAGCGGGACGAGAAGACCCUAUAGAGCUUUAACCUAACCCAUAAAAUUUUGUGGUGAGUGUUUUGGUUGGGGCAACUGUUUUUGUAGUUAGACAUUAAUUUUGAGAAAGAACUUAAUUUUUAAAGACCUUGAAUUUUUAAGGAAUAAAAAAAAGUUACCUUAGGGAUAACAGCGUAAUUUCUCUUGAGAGUUCUUAUUAACAGAGGAGUUUGCGACCUCGAUGUUGGAUCAAGUUUACCUGGGGGUGUAGCCGCUUCCAAGGGUUGGUUUGUUCAACCACUAAAAACUUACGUGAUCU